AUAUCAUUAGCGGGAGGAAAAGAAAUCAACAGAGAUUCCAGGAGUAACGGCGAGCGAAACUGGAAAAGCCCACGCUGAAGCUGGCUAGAUUUAAUUCUGGUCCGCAAUGUAGCAUCCAUCAUAUUUUCCUGAGGGGGGUGCCAGCGAAGUGGCCUGGAACGGCCUACCACUGAAGGUGACAGUCCUGUAGCUGGUAUUCUCCAAGGGCAGGGUGUGAAUGGUUGAGUCGUGCUGUUUGGGAGUACAGCACUAAUCCGGUGGUGUGUUCCAUCGAAGGCUAAAUAUUUUUCGUGAGAUCGAUAGCAAACAAGUACCGUGAGGGAAAGUUGAAAAGGACUUUGAAAAGAGAGUUAAAAGAAACUGAAACCUUAAACUGGAAAGGUCUUUGGCUCGACCUACGCGUUACAGGGUAUCAUUCCUGCGGGGGGAGGUAUACAGGGGGGGAGCUCUCGGGUUACUCUCUUGUUCGUAUUUUUCUCCGUGGUAUUUGGUAUUCUGCGCACAAUACCACCACUGUGGGGGGGCACAAUAGGCCCUGGGGGAGGUAGCUGUUUUACAGCGAUUACUCUGGGUGACUAAUAUGUCCCUCUAUAGUGA
rnacentral:rRNA from 1 species